rnacentral:rRNA from 1 species
CUCGACUCCAUGAAGUUGGAUUCGCUAGUAAUCGCGCAUCAGCCAUGGCGCGGUGAAUACGUUCCCGGGCCUUGUACACACCGCCCGUCAAGCCAUGGGAGCUGGGGGUGCUUGAAGAUCGCGACCGCGAGGAACGAUCAAGGGCAAAACUGGUAACUGGGGCUAAGUCGUAACAAGGUAGCCGUACCGGAAGGUGUGGCUGGAACACCUCCUUUUUGGAGUUU